GGAGCCACAACAAUGAAGGCAUUAGUGCUCACCCUCCUCUUCCUCCUCAUGGCACCCAGUGAAGCCAAAAUAUUUUCCAGAUGUGAACUGGCUUCAGUUCUGAAACAACAUGGCCUGGAUACAUAUACGAGUUGGACUUGUCUUUCACAGAUGAUGACAUCACAGAUGAUAUUGCUUGUGCUAAAAUAAUUAUGGCUAAUCACGUACCGUUCUAUCAAUGGUGGCCCUGGACGAAGAAUUGCAGAGGACCAAAUAUGUCAAACUGGAGCAGCGGCUGCAAGCUCUGAGAUUGAUGCUCCUGCAUAUCUCUCCCUCCUCCUGUGAUGAAAAUGAUAUUAUUCCUUAUAUAAACACAUUGAACAACUUGAUUCCAUUCUUGUCCCCCACACGUUGGGAAGAAUGAAUGGGUGGGAGCAGGGCCGGAUUUAGAUGAAAAGAGGCCCUAGGCUAUUCCACUUAUAGUGAAAGUGUAAUUUUAAUUUUGCUAACAAUUUGAAUGUAGGCCCCUCUUGAUCUUGAGGCCCUAGGCUGAAGCCUAGUUAGCCUAUAGGAAAAUCCGGCCCACCCGGUUAGCUAUUUCUAACUUUCCUCAAGGCAGCUCCAAUGGGUUUCUUCAGUUUCUCUCUUCACCAACCCUUAUUUCCUUGUGGGGAAUUUAGAUAAUUGAUUUGCCCCUUUUAUCUUCCUUUCUAUUCAACCAUUAAUGAAUGUUUAACAUAUUAACUGUUGGGUGUGAAUGUGCACAUUUUCUUUUAUUUUAAUCACUUUCAUACUAUAAACUGCUUUGAGAUGAUUCCACUGAAAGUAGAUUAAAAGUGAAUUAAAUGAAUAAAAAUAAUCACCUCAUGUUGUGAAGGAACACUGAUGGGAAAUGGGUUAGC